AGCGGCCAAACUAUGCUGAAUAUAUAUCGGUUCUCGUUAGAUCACCGAAGUCAAGCAUCAUUGGGCGAGGUCAGUACUUUGGUGGGUGACACCUGGGAACAUCGCGUGCCG
rnacentral:rRNA from 1 species